GUCGAACAGUUAUGUAUGCCGAUUAACAAAUUUAAGUAGUUGGGAAUUUAUCUUUAAGAUCGGUGUUAACUUUAUCGAAAUAAUUUUUAUAAAUAAAUAUCUUAAUAACCUUAGCACUAAGCGAGCUAUUUUCUACAUAGAGUAAUAAAUUCCAAUUCAAGAGGAUGCAGAUUGAUAGCAGGAAUGAUCAAAGAAUGGAGAGGAGGGCCUAGGUCGAUAGAAGCCAUUUCUCCAAGAGAACAAGCAACGAUGCGUUGAUUGUCCCAACCUACACGAGCUAAACCCACUACGAGACUUGAUUCCUGCAACGCUGUAAAACAACAAAUUUCAUUUUCCAUGGAUUCAUUAGAGGCAGGAUUAUUUAGAAAUGAUACUUUUCUAGUAUCUUACCUGAUCUCUCCUUGGUUUCUUCAUUUUUUUCUUCUAUGACUUUUAAUAAUUGAGUAGCAGCUUCUGAGACACUCAUAAACUGAGACGGCAUAUAUUCUUUUUUCUUUUUAGUAAUACUCUCUAUCGUAGGCUCCUUUAUUUUAAUGUCUAAUAAGCACAAUGUAUGUAGAUCUCUCUGCCUAUUUGAGAUAAUUUUCUCAUAAAAACUAUUUGGUUGCCAAUCAUUGUUCCAAUAAGGGAUAGAAACAGUUUCUCCAAAACGAUAUAAUUGCAAACCACAGCAUCCAAUUGCUGUCAAAAUAGAGGAAUUGUGAACAAUCUUUACCUGAAUCAUGGAAUAAUAAAAACUUUUAAUAUCGAUUAAUAAAAUUCGUUUUAUUAAACAAA